UUCUACAUUAGCACGUGAGAAAAUGGGAGCCACAGAUUCCCAAGUCCUCCAGCCAUUUGCUUUCCCACUCCUUGGAUUAACGAAAACUUAGUCAAUAAGAAAUAAAGUCUGGAAGCAUUAUCAUAACUAGUUUAUGCCUUCACCAACUGAAUAUCUAUUGAAAAACAUAAAUGGCAUAGCAACUGACUAAUAUUGCAGAACAAACCAGAAGAUUCUUUGAUCUCUCCUUU
rnacentral:lncRNA from 1 species